rnacentral:rRNA from 1 species
CCUACGGGUGGCAGCAGUGGGGAAUAUUGUACAAUGGGGGAAACCCUGAUGCAGCGACGCCGCGUGAGUGAAGGAGCGAUUCGUCGUGUAAAGCUCUAUCAGCAGGGAAGAAAAUGACGGUACCUGAGUAAGAAGCCCCGGCUAACUACGUGCCAGCAGCCGCGGUAAUACGUAGGGGGCAAGCGUUAUCCGGAUUUACUGGGUGUAAAGGGAGCGCAGACGGCAAUGCAAGUCAGGAGUGAAAGGCCGGGGCUCAACCCCGGGACUGCUCUGGAAACUGCACGGCUGGAGUACAGGAGGGGCAAGUGGAAUUCCUAGUGUAGCGGUGAAAUGCGUAGAUAUUAGGAGGAACACCAGUGGCGAAGGCGGCCUACUGGACUGUGACUGACGUUGAGGCCCGAAGGCGUGGGGAGCAAACAGGAUUAGAUACCCGGGUAGUC